CGGCUCAAUUCGAUAAUGUCCGUUCAAACCUAAAAAACUUGUACUAUUUUACCCGAAAUUUAACUCAACUCGUUGACAUCCCUAAUCACCCUCGAUAAUAGAUUCCUUCCCGACAAAAAAGAGCGUCACGUGCUGUGCCCGUGCAGUUAUGAAAAAUCAGCACAAGCAAAGCACAAACAAACGAUGGAUCGUCAAACACUAUCUUCUUCAUUUUCUCUCUAGAAAGCUUCGAUGUUUUUCAAAUUAGUCCUGUAAUUUUAUGAAAUUAGGCAGUUUUUUCAGAUCCAGGGUUCAUCGAACCUCUGAGUUUUCAGAUGGAUUCUAUGAUUUCAUGUAAAAUCAAGCUCUAGAAGCUUGUCACCUGAUAACAAGAAAAGAAAUUCGAAGUGUAUAUGGAAGGUUCUGCUACCGCGGAGGAUGUCGGGGCCCCGCCGGAUACGUGGGAGGUCACUAACCUGGACGCCAGCAUGCGCUUUCUCAUGCUUUCCUCUGCAAAAGACUCCAACUCUACUAAUAAUAUUAGUAAUCUAUCUGAGCUAGAUGAGGGUUCUAUUUCAAGUUCGGGGUCUACUACAGGAUUUAGCUCAGGCUCGGGAGAUGUCUCGAAAGAUUUGGUGAAUUCGGUGUGUUAGGAUCUUC
rnacentral:lncRNA from 1 species